rnacentral:rRNA from 1 species
GAGUAACGCGUUGGUGACCUGCCCCAAAGUGUGGGAUAACAGACCGAAAGGUCUGCUAAUACCGCAUGUGGUCACAAGGGUUAGAGGCCUUGUGUCGAAAGGAGUAAUCCGCUUUGGGAGGGACCUGCGUCCCAUCAGCUAGUUGGUAGGGUAACGGCCUACCAAGGCUUCGACGGGUAGGGGGCCUGAGAGGGUGGCCCCCCACAAUGGAACUGAAACACGGUCCAUACACCUACGGGUGGCAGCAGUAGGGAAUAGUGUGCAAUGGGCGAAAGCCUGACACUGCAACGCCGCGUGUGCGAUGAAGGCCUUCGGGUCGUAAAGCACUUUUCUGGGAGAUGAGAAAGGGCAGUAUCCCAGGAAUAAGCCUCGGCUAACUACGUGCCAGCAGCCGCGGUAACACGUAGGAGGCAAGCGUUAUUCGGAUUUACUGGGCGUAAAGCGCGUGCAGGCGGUUCGGUAAGUUGGAUGUGAAAGCUCCUGGCUUAACUGGGAGAGGUCGUCCAAUACUACCGGACUAGAGGACGGUAGAGGAAGGUGGAAUUCCGGGUGUAGUGGUGAAAUGCGUAGAUAUCCGGAGGAACACCAGUGGCGAAGGCGGCCUUCUGGGCCGUUCCUGACGCUCAGACGCGAAAGCUAGGGUAGCAAACGGGAUUAGAGACCCCGGUAGUCCUAGCCGUAAACGAUGCAAACUUGGCGUCGGUGGGUUAAUAUCCAGCGGUGCCGCAGCUAACGCGAUAAGUUUGCCGCCUGGGGACUACGGCCGCAAGGUUAAAACUCAAAGGAAUUGACGGGGGCCCGCACAAGCAGCGGAGCGUGUGGUUUAAUUCGACGCAACGCGAAGAACCUUACCAAGGCUUGACAUACGCCUGAAAGGCAGAGAAGUCUGCUCUUCCUUCGGGACAGGUGUACAGAUGCUGCAUGGCUGUCGUCAGCUCGUGCCGUGAGGUGUUGGGUUAAGUCCCGCAACGAGCGCAACCCUCGUUGUCAGUUGAUCUCUCUGGCAAGACUGCCCUUUAGAAGGGGAGGAAGGUGGGGAUGACGUCAAGUCAGCACGGCUCUUAUGCCUUGGGCUACACACACGCUACAAUGGCUGGUACAAAGGGUUGCCAAGGAGCGAUCCGGAGCUAAUCCCGACAAAGCCAUCCCCAGUUCAGAUUGAAGUU